rnacentral:rRNA from 1 species
CAGUCGCCGCGGGAAAACGGAGGGUGCAAGCGUUAGUCGGAAUUACUGGGCGUAAAGCGUGCGUAGGCGGUUCGUUAAGUCUGUUGUGAAAGCCCCGGGCUCAACCUGGGAAUGGCAAUGGAUACUGGCGAGCUAGAGUGUGUCAGAGGAUGGUGGAAUUCCCGGUGUAGCGGUGAAAUGCGUAGAGAUCGGAAAGAACACCAACGGCGAAAGCACUCUGCUGGGCCGACACUGACACUGAGAGACGAAAGCCAGGGGAGCAAAUGGGAUUAGAUACCCCAGUAGUCCCUGUCUCUUAUAC